GUGCGUGUGCGUGUGCGUGUGCGUGUGCGUGUGCGUGUGUGUGUGUGUGUGCGCGCGCGCGCGCAUGUAUGUAUAUAUAUAUAUAUUCACAGAUGUGAGAUUGAUUUAAGUAAUUUAAAUUACGUUGUAAUUUUUGCAAGGACUUCGAAUCAUUAAAAUUUAAUUUUAAAACUCUGCUAUGGAUAUAAAAUCAUUAUGAUCAUUUUUCAAAAUAGCCCCACGAUUAAUCAGACUCAUGUUUAAAUAUAAUAUUCUUAUAUAAAAUUGCUUAUAAACUUGAUAAAUCAAAAAAUAUGCACAAAUAUUUAUAUAUAAAAUUUUAGCAGUUUUUGUGUACAGAAUAUUGUAAUAUUAUUAUAAUUAUAUUGUAUAUCUAUAUUUUAUCAAUAUGCAAUGCAAUUUACAACAUUGCAAUUCGCGAUGCUUGCCUAGCAAUACGCUAUCUGGUGGUCAAUUUCGGAACUACUGUAAGUACGGUCAGCUGUGGUUGUGUUUAUCAUUCAAUUUCGGACAACUAAAAAUAUUUGUGAAUUUUAUUCUUUAUAUCUUCAGUCAUAUCUGCAGAAAAAAAAACUGCGAUUUUUUCGCCCAAGAAAUCUAUAAAAGCAAAAAUAAAUUGCAGUGUACCAGGAUGUGAUGCGACUGCAAGUAAAGACCGAAAUUUAUCAUUUCAUUUAUUUCCAAAAGCAAAAGCUGUAACAGUAAAAGUUAAAAAUUAUUUUGGAAACACCGAAAUACUUGACUUGCGAAGUGUUUGGUUAAACAAGUUUAAAUUUGGGAAAGCUUGUAGUAAUACCAUGAAAGUGAAAAUUCAUGCAGAAAAGUUUUAAAAAAGAAUGCAAUUCCUUCGUUGAAUCUUCCAUCAACUCCCAAGCAUGGAACCCUAUGCUAAAACGAAAACCUAUAGCAAGACCUCGAGAAAAUAGAAGUCGUCGACAAAUAAAUUUUCAAAAUUGUAAAAAUAAGCAAUUGGAAGCACAAAGGUAAAAAGAUUUGGAAACUUGAUUUUGCUAAUUUCAUAUUACAAAUGCUUAACAUUUAGAAUCAGGAACUUAUCAAUUUGUGAAAAAAUUGAAUCAAAAAGUUGUAAAAAGGUAUAGUAUUGAUUAAUUUGAUUGAAGAUAAUAGAUUGACUAUAUUUCGCUCAGUGUGAAAUUGCAAGCUUGUUUAAUAUUAUUAUACAUAUAAGUAUUUGCAUAUUAAGUGUUUUUUAAUAAUUUUUUAAUAAUCUUUCAACAAAUGCAUGUCUUAUAAUUAAUGCUUGGGUGUGUUUUGAAAAAUUUGUAACAUGUUUUUUUGGAGUUUCUUGUAAACGAUUUUUAACAUAUGUUGUGUAUGUAAAAUGUUGCAUCAUUUUAAUUAUUAUAUUUCUAUUAGGGAAAUAAGUAACUGCCUUAUGAUUAACGUCGUCACUUCAGAAAAUGAUGCAGAGGAAAAAUCUUCCCAAAAUAAAGGAAAUUUCAAUUUCGAUGCAUGUACAUUUGAAAAAGAAUUAAAGGCAUGCAAAGGUUCUCUUUUAUCAAAAGCUAACAAAAGAAACGUUGACAUUCAAGUAACUAGUGGAGACGUACGUCCUCACUCUAUUCUAUUUUACGUAACUUCGGAUGAAGUUCUUAAUACAUUCACCGGUCUUCCUACAAAAGAAAUCUUAAAUAAACUAGCUCAAAUUAUUGAACAAGUAUUCUAAUAGGAAAGGCCAUUUAUCUGUAAAAGAACAAAUUCUUUUGACUGUCAUGAAGAAAAACAAUUUAGUUGGAACUCUUCUGUCCACCACAGUAACAUAUUAACAUAGCAUUUUAGUUGUAUUCCUAAAAUUGUGAUGAUUUCAAUGAUGAUAAUGUGUGAUUUUCUCUACUACUUAGUUUAAUAGAUGUUUAUAUCCAUAUAUGUAUAAAGAUAUUAUAUUUAAACUAGAUUAUUAAUAAUAUACUAAUAAAAAUAUGAUUUAA